rnacentral:rRNA from 1 species
AACGGGUGAGUAACGCGUGAGGAACCUGCCUCAAAGAGGGGGACAACAGUUGGAAACGACUGCUAAUACCGCAUAAGCCCACGGCUCGGCAUCGAGCAGAGGGAAAAGGAGCGAUCCGCUUUGAGAUGGCCUCGCGUCCGAUUAGCUAGUUGGUGAGGUAACGGCCCACCAAGGCGACGAUCGGUAGCCGGACUGAGAGGUUGAACGGCCACAUUGGGACUGAGACACGGCCCAG